rnacentral:rRNA from 1 species
GACGGAGGAUGCAAGCGUUAUCCGGAAUUAUUGGGCGUAAAGCGUCCGCAGGUGGACAUACAAGUCUGCUGUUAAAGCGCAGGGCUUAACCCUGUAAAGGCGGUGGAAACUGGAGAGCUAGAGUGUGGUAGGGGUAGAGGGAAUUCCCGGUGUAGCGGUGAAAUGCGUAGAGAUCGGGAAGAACACCAGUGGCGAAAGCGCUCUACUGGGCCACAACUGACACUGAUGGACGAAAGCUAGGGGAGCGAAUGGG